rnacentral:rRNA from 1 species
GACGAACGCUGGCGGCGUGCUUAACACAUGCAAGUCGAACGGAAAGGCCCUGCUUUUGUGGGGUGCUCGAGUGGCGAACGGGUGAGUAACACGUGAGUAACCUGCCCUUGACUUUGGGAUAACUUCAGGAAACUGGGGCUAAUACCGGAUAGCAGCUCCUGCUGCAUGGUGGGGGUUGGAACGUUUCGGCGGUUGGGGAUGGACGCGCGGCUUAUCAGCUUGUUGGUGGGGUAGUGGCUUACCAAGGCUUUGACGGGUAGCCGGCCUGAGAGGGUGACCGGCGACAUUGGGACUGAGAUACGGCCCAGACUCCUACGGGAGGCAGCAGUGGGGAAUAUUGCACAAUGGGCGGAAGCCUGAUGCAGCAACGCCGCGUGCGGGAUGACGGCCUUCGGGUUGUAAACCGCUUUCGCCUGUGACGAAGCGUGAGUGACGGUAAUGGGUAAAGAAGCACCGGCUAACUACGUG